GAUGAACGCUAGCUACAGGCCUAACACAUGCAAGUCGAACGAGUGGCGGACGGGUGAGUAAUGUCUUGGAAACUGCCCGAUGGAGGGGGAUAACUACUGGAAACGGUAGCUAAUACCGCAUACCAUCGGAUGUGCCCAGAUGGGAUUGGCUAGUAGGUGGGGUAAAGGCUCCCCUAGGCGACGAUCCCUAGCUGGUCUGAGAGGAUGUCCAGCAACACUGGAACGGAGACACGGUCCAGACUCCGACGUGAGGCAGCAGUGGGGAAUAUUGCAAAAGGGGCGCAAGCCUGAGGCAGCCAUGCCGCGUGUAUGAAGAAGGCCUUCGGGUUGUAAAGUACUUUCAGCGGGGAGGCGUUACCCGCAGAAGAAGCACCGGCUAACUCCGUGCCAGCAGCCGCGGUAAUAC
rnacentral:rRNA from 1 species